GAUGAACGCUGGCGGCGUGCUUAACACAUGCAAGUCGAACGGUGAAGCAGGAGCUUGCUCUUGUGGAUCAGUGGCGAACGGGUGAGUAACACGCGAGCAACCUGCCCCUGACUCUGGGAUAAGCGCUGGAAACGGCGUCUAAUACUGGAUAUGUGAUGUGACCGCAUGGUCUGCAUCUGGAAAGAAAUUUGGUUGGGGAUGGGCUCGCGGCCUAUCAGCUUGUUGGUGAGGUAAUGGCUCACCAAGGCGUCGACGGGUAGCCGGCCGGAGAGGGUGACCGGCCACACUGGGACUGAGACACGGCCCAGACUCCUACGGGAGGCAGCAGUGGGGAAUAUUGCACAAUGGGCGGAAGCCUGAUGCAGCAACGCCGCGUGAGGGAUGACGGCCUUCGGGUUGUAAACCUCUUUUAGCAGGGAAGAAGCGAAAGUGACGGUACCUGCAGAAAAAGCACCGGCUAACUACGUGCCAGCCGCCGCAGUAA
rnacentral:rRNA from 1 species